rnacentral:rRNA from 1 species
UACAGAGGUCUCGAGCGUUGUUCGGAUUCAUUGGGCGUAAAGGGUGCGUAGGUGGCGCUGUAAGUCGGGUGUGAAAUCCUGAGGCUUAACCUCGGAACUGCAUUCGAUACUGCGGCGCUUGAGGACUGGAGAGGAGACUGGAAUUCAUGGUGUAGCAGUGAAAUGCGUAGAGAUCGGGAGGAAUACCGGUGGCGAAAGCGACUCUCUGGACGGCAACUGACGCUGAGGCACGAAAGCGUGGGGAGCAAACAGG